rnacentral:rRNA from 1 species
AUUGAACGCUGGCGGCAUGCUUUACACAUGCAAGUCGAACGGUAACAGCACUUCGGUGGCUGACGAGUGGCGAACGGGUGAGUAAUACAUCGGAACGUGCCUAGUAGUGGGGGAUAACUACUCGAAAGAGUAGCUAAUACCGCAUGAGAUCUAAGGAUGAAAGCAGGGGACCUUCGGGCCUUGCGCUACUAGAGCGGCUGAUGGCAGAUUAGGUAGUUGGUGGGAUAAAAGCUUACCAAGCCGACGAUCUGUAGCUGGUCUGAGAGGACGACCAGCCACACUGGGACUGUGACACGGCCCAGACUCCUACGGGAGGCAGCAGUGGGGAAUUUUGGACAAUGGGCGCAAGCCUGAUCCAGCAAUGCCGCGUGCAGGAUGAAGGCCUUCGGGUUGUAAACUGCUUUUGUACGGAACGAAAAGCCCUCUUCUAAUACAGGAGGGUCAUGACGGUACCGUAAGAAUAAGCACCGGCUAACUACGUG